rnacentral:rRNA from 1 species
AUUGAACGCUGGCGGCAGGCUUAACACAUGCAAGUCGAGCUAGCGGCGGACGGGUGAGUAAUGUCUGGGAACCUGCCUGAUGGAGGGGGCUAACUACUGGAAACGGUAGCUAAUACCGCAUACCAUCAGAUGUUCCCAUAUGGGCUUAGCUAGUAGGUGGGGUAAUGGGUCACCUAGGCGCCGAUACCUAGCUGGUCUGAGAGGAUGACCAGCCACACCGGAACUGAGACACGGUCCAUACUCCUACGGGAGGCAGCAGUGGGGAAUAGUGCAAAAUGGGGGAAACCCUGACGCAGCCAUGCCGCGUGAAUGAAGAAGGCCUUCGGGUUGUAAAGUUCUUUCGGUAGCGAAGCGUUAACUAAAGAAGAAGCACCGGCUAACUCCGUGCCAGCAGCCGCGGUAAUAC